AUACGUAGGUGGCAAGCGUUGUCCGGAAUUAUUGGGCGUAAAGCGCAUGUAGGCGGCGGUUUAAGUCUGUCGUGAAACUGCGGGGCUCAGCCCCGUAUGGCGAUGGAAACUGGACGGCUUGAGUGCAGGAGAGGAAAGGGGAACUCCCAGUGUAGCGGUGAAAUGCGUAGAUAUUGGGAAGAACACCGGUGGCGAAGGCGCCUUUCUGGACUGGGACUGACGCUGUGAUGCGAAAGCCAGGGUAGCGAACGGGAUUAGAUCCCCCGGUAGUCCUGUCCGUAAACGAUGGGUACUAGGUGUGGGAGGUAUCGACCCCUUCCGUGCCGGAGUUAACGCAAUAAGUACCCCGCCUGGGGAGUACGGCCGCAAGGCUUAAACUCAAAUGAAAUGACGUGG
rnacentral:rRNA from 1 species